rnacentral:sRNA from 1 species
UCCAAGUGACACUAGCAAUCACAUUGCCUUUAGCUGAGCAAACACUUUGAGUUAUAGCCAUUUGACAGUGUCAAUAGGGAAAAAUUACAAUGCGCCCGAUUCCUGUUGGUUCUAAGCCGAAGAUAAUCUCGACGAAACUGCCACUAAAAAUUAAGCAGAGCUCUUAAGCAACUCUACCAAAGUGUGCGGCAGAUAUGCGGCCAUGAGAACAGAAAAAAGGAGCUGUAGUGGUCCAAUAGUCUGCCACACCGGUGAGUGGAUAAUAAAAAAUGCAGGAGGCAGCCAUCAGGCCAAGCGGAAACGGAAAUAAGCUAUUAUGCGCACACAAUGCCAACGGUAAACGCAAAAAGAAACUGCGGGAAAAUGAAAGGAGCUCGAAGCGGGAAAAACUAGCGGAAAAGCGCCAUCCGGGUGGGAAAAGUUUCCCAGCUAGACGGUGCAUUUAAUACACUUUGCAUAACUAGCUGUCUGGGCUUUUAUAGUUUUACGAUAUGAUGGAAUUAUUUUUAGAUGGUACAUGCAGUAGCACAGAGAGGGUUUGACAACAUGUGGAAAAUAUUUAUGUUAACGGUUAAUAUUUAAUAUCUGUGGCUCUACGUACUCUUUAAAAUUAUUGAAGGGUAAAGCAGUUCGUAGCGAAAGCAAUACCCCGACGUAGGAUCUGACGAUUUGGGUCGAGCUUCUGAAUGGGUUCAUAUUCUUCUCGCACCUGCCACCCCUCCCCCGUUUGAAUUUAAUUUUUCUGGCCUGUCCCCCUUAUGUUCUCCCUCCGUUCUGGCUUCUUUUAUUUUUUGGUCCGGUUCAAAAUUGAAAGUGCAUUAGCCUUUUCAGUUAAUUUGCAGAGCCACUGGAGGGAUUUUGUUCUUCUGAUUGGCAGGACCCAGAAUCGGAUGCCAAAUUCCGGAUUAACAUCAGCCAGACUUAACGCUCGGCUUGCCUUUUCAAAACAAUUUGUGCUAAUUUCCAGCCAUGAUGCAGGGCCGUAAAAACGUAGAAUAAACUAAGGAAGAACUAAAGAGAA